GAUGAACGCUGGCGGCGUGCCUAAUACAUGCAAGUCGAGCGAACAGACGAGGAGCUUGCUCCUCUGACGUUAGCGGCGGACGGGUGAGUAACACGUGGAUAACCUACCUAUAAGACUGGGAUAACUUCGGGAAACCGGAGCUAAUACCGGAUAAUAUAUUGCACCGCAUGGUUCAAUAGUGAAAGACGGUUUUGCGGUCACUUAUAGAUGGAUCCGCGCCGCAUUAGCUAGUUGGUGAGGUAACGGCUUACCAAGGCAACGAGGCGUAGCCGAACUGAGAGGCUGGUAGCCCACCCGGGAACGGAGACACGCACAAGACUCCUACGGGAGGCAGCAGUAGGGAAUCUGCCGCAAUGGGCGAAAGCUUGACGGAGCAACGCCGCGUGAGUUAUGAAGGUCUUCGGAUCGUAAAACUCUGUUAUUAGUGAAGAACAAAUGUGUAAGUUACUAUGCACGUCUUGACGGUACCUAAUCAGAAAGCCACGGCUAACUACGUG
rnacentral:rRNA from 1 species